ACUUUAGUGUAAGUAUGUCCCAUGUACUUUUUGGGACAUACUUAUACUAAAA
rnacentral:pre_miRNA from 1 species